rnacentral:rRNA from 1 species
UACGGGGGGGGGCAAGCGUUGUUCGGAAUUACUGGGCGUAAAGGGCGCGUAGGCGGUCAGCACAAGUCAGUUGUGAAAUCUCCGGGCUUAACUCGGAAAGGUCAACUGAUACUGUGCGACUAGAGUGCGGAAGGGGCAACUGGAAUUCUCGGUGUAGCGGUGAAAUGCGUAGAUAUCUGGAGGAACACCGGUGGCGAAGGCGGCAUCCUGGACCGGCAUUGACGCUAAAGCACGAAAGCCAGGGGAGCAAACGGG